UAAUACGUAGGGGGCUAGCGUUGUCCGGAAUCAUUGGGCGUAAAGAGCGUGUAGGCGGCCCGGUAAGUCCGCUGUAAAAGUCAAAGGCUCAACCUUUGAAUGUCAGUGGAUACUGCCGGGCUAGAGUCCGGAAGAGGCGAGUGGAACUCCUGGUGUAGCGGUGGAAUGCGCAGAUAUCAGGAAGAACACCAACGGCGAAGGCAGCUCGCUGGGACGGUACUGACGCUGAGACGCGAAAGCGUGGGGAGCGAACAGGAUUAGAUACCCUGGUAGUCCACGCCGUAAACGAUGGGCACUAGGUGUGGGAGGUGUCGACUCCUCCCGUGCCGGCGCUAACGCAUUAAGUGCCCCGCCUGGGGAGUACGGCCGCAAGGCUA
rnacentral:rRNA from 1 species